rnacentral:rRNA from 1 species
UACAGAGGUCCCAAGCGUUGUUCGGAUUCAUUGGGCGUAAAGGGUGCGUAGGUGGCGCCGUAAGUGGGGUGUGAAAUUCGGAGCUUAACUCCGAAACUGCAUUCGAUACUGCCGUGCUUGAGGACUGGAGAGGAGACUGAAAUUUACGGUGUAGCGGUGAAAUGCGUAGAUAUCGUAAGGAAGACCAGUGGCGAAGGCGGGUCUCUGGACAGUUCCUGACGCUGAGGCACGAAGGCCAGGGGAGCAAACGGG